rnacentral:snRNA from 1 species
GGAUGUGAGGGCAAUCUGGCUGCGACACCUGUCACCCCAUUGACCGCCAGGGUUGACUUGGCAAAUCUAGCUGGCUAGGCAGGUGUCCCCUUCCUCCCUCACCACUCUCUGUGCAUCCCUCUUGAAGUUGUACGUUUGGUCAAAGAGGACGACCUUCCCCAAAUAGAAAUAGACAUGUCUUCCUCGAGGGCAUAAGAGUAGCUGUGCUCCCCUGCUAGAACCUCCAAACAAGCUCUCAAAUCCCAGCCACAUGAGUACCAUAGGACUGAGGAAAGGUGCAGUGCUAUGCUGUCAUUCCUU